GGAGAGAGAAGGUGCAUUUAAUUUUUUACCACUUUUGGGCAAACACAUGAGAUGCUUAUUUUCACUCAAAGAACGUUUCCAUUUUGGUCUUUGCCUUUAGCUNCAAUUCUACNGAGGAUUACAUGAGGGANAGAGUUUCUUUUGGUUGUUUUCUUUCCUUUGACUUUGCUUACAUGGCACCUUGGUUGAAGCACUCAAAGUAUCUUUCAUUUAGCCUUUGGUUUGAAGCACUUUUUGUAACACUCACUUGGUAGCUCACGGCAUUUGUGUCUUGGUGUGUGGUUUCCUUUUUAUUUUUCUACAUGGGAGGAGAGAAGGGACGGUNUCCAUGAUGAUGUGGAAGGCACAUGCUUAUUUUAUUGGAGAAUGAGGCACAUGGGACAAAAAGAGAACAUAUUUAAUUGUUGUUGAAGAAAGAAAACAAAAUGAAUUUGGAAGUUGGAGUGGACUAGGAGCUCACGGCCCAAAGGGCUUUCUUAAGCCAUUUGCGCUUUUCAUUUCAUUUGGUAGAUGCACUUGGUCACAUAAAUUUCUAGUAGGAAAUGGUGUUUGUUUAUUUCUUUUGAUUUAAAUUAAUUUCAUAGUAGGAUGAGUUGUUUUUCAUCUCUUUAAUUUAGUGUUGCAUUUUAAUAAUNUUAAUUGAGCUAGAUAUUUGUUUGUUACAUUGUUGAGGUCUUGUAUUUUAUUUUUUUU
rnacentral:lncRNA from 1 species